rnacentral:tRNA from 1 species
AGGCCCGUAGCUCAAUUGGCAGAGCACCGGACUCCAAAUCCGGAGGUUGGGGGUUCGAGUCCCUCCGGGCCUGCGA